UAAGGAGACCCUGGUUCUACUUCAUUUGUCUCAGCUCUUACAAUUUUCUGAUGCAUUUAUGAGGGCAAUUUGUAGCACUGAAAAUAAUUUUGAGUUAAAAUCUUUUUGGUUUUGGACAAUAGUGAAGAUGCUUAUAUAUUCACUCACUUCACAUACCCCAGGGAAAUUGAGUCACUUCUUCCUAAAAAGGUAUAAAAUACUCAUAAAUUUCAACAGAAGAUAUGGCUGCAUUUUGAGACCCCAGAAAUUUAAGGUCAUGAUCACCACACUGCAGCACAUUGGAAGUGAUGAGUCACUUACCAGAUGCAAACACAGAACUCCCACUAAUCACAUCAUUGUGACAAGAAGAGAAGGCAAAAUAGAAAUAAAAAUGAAAAAUGAACGGCAUGGGUAUUGCUAUGCAUAUAAAUUUAAUAAAUACAUGUGAUAUGAUAUGUGAUAUGAUAUACUAUGAUAUGCCUGGACUAAUGAGCCCCAAAUUUGUCACUGAGCCUCCAAUGUCCCUUCUUUUCCCUUUAUACCAUUGCUACCCAAGACCCAGUUAAAUAUCUCUCUGGAUUAUAUCUUUCUGGCUUUAAUAAAAAGAUGAGGUUAGAGUGGCUGUUAUUUAGCCAGGUACUUUUAAGAAGAUGAGAGUGGUUUUAAAAUUGGAGGAAGAAACCUCAAUAACUGAUGCUGAUGAUACUACCCUGCUAGCUGAAAAUGUAAAGGAUCUGCAAGCCCUAGUACUGUACUAAAAGUCAAAGAGCAAGUGAAAAAAUGGGACUAAAAUUAAACAUAAAAACCACCAAACUAAUGGCAGUAGGUAGAACAACCUGCCUUAGAAUUGACAAUGAAGAUAUCAAAGUGGUGGAGAGCUUCUGCCUUUUAGGAUCAACCAUCAACAGUAAAGGAACAAGAAGUCAAGAAAUAUGCUGCAGACUAGCACUUGGUAGAGCAGCCACAAAGGCCUUGGGAAAUAUAUUCAAAUGCCAUGAUGUGUCUAUACCUACAGAGAGAAGAAUUGUGCAAGCCAUGGUAUUCCCUAUGACGCUCUAUGGAACGCUGGACUUUAAAGAAGCAGGUUAGGAAAAGUAUUGAUGCCUUUGAACUUUGGUGUUUGAGAAGACUCCUGAGAAUACUGUGGACAGCCAAGAAAACAAACUGAUGAAUCACUGAACAAAUCAACCCAGAGUUCUCACCCAAGCAUAAUGACCAGGCUCAAAUUAUCCUACUUUGGACAUAAUAUGCGAAGACACAGCUCUCUGGAAAAGACUCUAAUGUUGGGAAAGGUGGAAGAAAAGAGAAGAGGAUGACCAGCAGCAAGGUGGAUGGACUCAAGUUACAGCAGCAAUGAAUGCACUGUUGGGAGACUUGAAAGAAUAUGGAGAAGGAAGUGGAGAAUCUAUGUGGUCGCUAGGAGUCAAAAACAACUAGACGGCACAUAA